GGAAGAGUGGCAGAGUGGCCGAUUGCGGCUGUCUUGAAAACAGUUGUCGGGUGACCGACCGUGGGUUCGAAUCCUACCUCUUCCGCCA
rnacentral:tRNA from 1 species